CGUCGAGCGGCGGACGCGGUGAGUAAUACUUAGGAAUCUACCUAGUAGUGGGGGAUAGCACGGGGCAAACUCGUAUUAAUACCGCAUACGACCUACGGGAGAAAGGGGGCAGUUUACUGCUCUCGCUAUUAGAUGAGCCUAAGUCGGAUUAGCUAGAUGGUGGGGUAAAGGCCUACCAUGGCGACGAUCUGUAGCUGGUCUGAGAGGAUGAUCAGCCACACCGGGACUGAGACACGGCCCGGACUCCUACGGGAGGCAGCAGUGGGGAAUAUUGGACAAUGGGGGAAACCCUGAUCCAGCCAUGCCGCGUGUGUGAAGAAGGCCUUUUGGUUGUAAAGCACUUUAAGCAGUGAAGAAGACUCUUCGGUUAAUACCCGGAGACGAUGACAUUAGCUGCAGAAUAAGCACCGGCUAACUCUGUGCCAGCAGCCGCGGUAAUACAGAGGGUGCAAGCGUUAAUCGGAAUUACUGGGCGUAAAGGGAGCGUAGGUGGCUCGAUAAGUCAGAUGUGAAAUCCCCGGGCUCAACCUGGGAACUGCAUCUGAUACUGUUGAGCUAGAGUAUGUGAGAGGAAGGUAGAAUUCCAGGUGUAGCGGUGAAAUGCGUAGAGAUCUGGAGGAAUACCGAUGGCGAAGGCAGCCUUCUGGCAUAAUACUGACACUGAGGCUCGAAAGCGUGGGUAGCAAACAGGAUUAGAUACCCUGGUAGUCCACGCCGUAAACGAUGUCUACUAGUCGUUGGGUCCCUUGAGGACUUAGUGACGCAGCUAACGCAAUAAGU
rnacentral:rRNA from 1 species